AGAAUCGUGCAGCGGAACUGUGGCGGAAAAAAAGAGAAGACGGCAGCUGCUAGACGACCGACAAAUUAGUCGGAAUUCACAUUUAUGGCAUCGAUUACAAGUUUCCUGAACGUGAGCAACGGGCAUAAACGACUAGCUAUGGAAAGCAUCGAAGAAACGAAAAAUUCAUACGUAUUUGCAUGUUGACGAUAUAUCCACAUUUUUUUCGAUCUAUUAUCUAAAUGUUCAUUAAAUAUACCCGAUAAAUUUGUCAAUUUGUCAAUCGAAGAUUCGAAAUUAUAAAUGGAAUGACAAGCAAGGAGGCAAAACGCGAAGAUGAUGAUCGUCGCAAUAAACGACGGAACGAACGACGGAACAGCAAUUUUCCGGACUGGUGGACUUACAUUCUAAACGGAUGUACUAUUAUUAGAUCGUAGUUUGAUAUUGGCUUUGCUGUUCAAUUAAUAUGGGAAAGCCUCGGGGCUUAUCUGAUCUACGAUCUCUAGUUUUAAUCUGGAAAAAAUCAAUUACUCAAACGAUCUUAUCGUAUUAAAUUUGAUAAUAAAUUAAACGUAACACAACGAUCGCUUUGUUCGAUAAAAUUCAUGUCUUAUUUUCCUUUUUUUUUUUAUUUAUAAAGGCGAAGCGAUGAAAUAUAAGAGGCGCGCGAUCCAUUCGACAUUAAUAGGCGUGUACGAUUUAUAAUGCGCAUUGUGUGCGUAAUUAGAGGAAGAACGGGGCAGGAAGAAAUGGAUAACCAAUGCACACGUGAAAGGAAAUGCUCGUUUCUCGUCACGACAGCUCAAUAGCAACAGCUUGUAACUGUGCACCGGUUAAUUACACUGUUUCGAGCAUCGGUCGUACGAGCUGUUAGAUCCUUCCGCUUCUUACUUGAAACUACUACUCUAAAAUAAUAUGAUUUCGAUUAAUUAUCGUUUCAAUGUAAAUUAUUCCCUUCUUUCGAUUAACUUAAAUAAACAUCGAUAUUAAUAAAAUACGAACGAAA